CAAAACCAUUUUUUUUUGUUUUUUUUUUUAAGUCUAACCUGCCCAGUGAAUUAAAUUUUUAACGGCCGCAGUAUUCUGACUGUGCAAAGGUAGCAUAAUCAAUAGUCUUUUAAUUGAAGGCUUGAAUGAAUGGUUGGACGAGAUAUUAACUGUUUCAUUUAAAUUUAUAAUGGAAUUUUAUUUUUUAGUCAAAAAGCUAAAAUUUAUUUAAAAGACGAGAAGACCCUAUAAAUCUUUAUAUUUAAUUUAUUAUAAAUUUAUAGAUUCUUUUUUUUAUAAUAAUUAUAAUAUUUUAUUGGGGUGAUAUUAAAAUUUAAAAAACUUUUAAUUUUUUUUUACAUUAAUUUAUGAUUUAUUGAUCCUUUAUUAUUGAUUAAAAAAUUAAGUUACUUUAGGGAUAACAGCGUAAUUUUUUUGGAGAGUUCAUAUCGAUAAAAAAUAUUGCGACCUCGAUGUUGGAUU
rnacentral:rRNA from 1 species